CCCCAAGAAAGGACACACCCCAACAGUGGUAUCCUCUCUCUCUCUUCCCGUUCUCCUCUCACUCUCUCUCUCUCUCUCUCUGCUCCCUCGCUCACAGUGAUCUUUGGAUCGAGGGAUCGGUCGACGAAGCCGCGGUUCGCAACUCUCAGGCGUCGGGUGCUCUCGAUCUUUACGUGGAUUUGAUCUGAACCGGGUCGGGUUGCGGCGGAGGGGGCUUCCCGUUGACUUUCCCGCUCUGCUCUUGGAGGAGGUUCCGGCGGAUCCGGGGUGUCAAAUCUUGUCGAGCUUUGGAUUGGAAAGGUUGGGCAUGGAGGUUGGAUAGGGAUCUGUGGGAGGUGGGGUAGAAGUGGUGAUUUGAACAAGUUUGUGGAGUGAUUGGCGGGAUUGGGGAUUGUCCGAGGAAGCGAAGGUUCGGGAAUCGGAGGUGCGAAACAUGAGCGUGGGAAGCAGCUACGCGAGUUCCAAGUUGGAGAGUGACAGAGUGCCGGAUAAGUUCCCGGUGGGAAUGAAGAUUCUCUUGGUGGAUGACGACCCGAUCUGCUUGGCUGUGGUUCAGCGUAUGCUUCUUAACUGCCAGUACGAUGUUACAACUUGUUCUGAGGCUACAAGAGCUUUAUCUCUGCUAAGGGAGAAUAAGGGUGCUUUUGAUCUUAUAAUCAGUGAUGUUCAUAUGCCUGACAUGGAUGGGUUUAGGCUACUCGAAUUAGUUGGUCUCGAAAUGGAUCUACCUGUUAUCAUGAUGUCUGGUGAUACAAGAUUCAAUGUUGUGAUGAAAGGAGUCAGUCAUGGGGCUUGUGAUUUUCUAACUAAGCCUGUACGUAUGGAAGAGCUACAGAACAUAUGGCAGCAUGUUGUAAGAAGAAAAUGGCUAGAUAGUAAAGAAAUAGAGCGUUCAGGUAGUGUUGAAGAAGCUGAUCGCAGUAGGCAAGUCACAGAUGAUUCUGAAUAUGCUUCCACAGUGAAUGAUGGAAUAGAUUGUUCAUGGAAAUAUCAAAGAAAGAAAAGAGACGCUAAAGAAGAAGAUGACAAUGAGUUAGACAACAUAGACCCUUCUUCAUCCAAAAAACCACGUGUGGUGUGGUCAGUUGAGCUCCAUCAGCAGUUUGUCAAUGCCGUGAACCAACUAGGAAUAGACAAAGCUGUGCCCAAGAGAAUCCUAGAAUUGAUGAAUGUGCCUGGUCUGACUAGAGAAAACGUUGCUAGCCAUUUGCAGAAGUUCAGGCUUUAUCUGAAGAGAUUGAGUGGGGUAGCUCAACACCACACUGGACUUAAUAGUCCAUUAUAUGGAGCUUCUUCAAAUGCAAAAGUGGGUCAGCUGGGAAGAUUUGAUUUCCAAGCUUUGGCAGUCUCAGGUCAAAUUUCUCCAGAAACCCUAGCUGCCUUGCAAGAUGAGCUCUUAGGUCAUCCUCCUUGUAACUUAGCGAUGCCAACAAUAGACCAGCAAGUUCUCCAACAAGCUUCAGUGCAACGAAAUAAUAGUGUUACUUUUGAGCGAGGAAUAGCAUUUGGUCAGCCUUUAUUAAAGGGCCAGGCAGUAUCCUCUUUUCCUGUUUGGCCCGCAAACGAUCUUGGUGCUCUGGGCUCUGCCAGCAACCUUGGAGGGUUGAAUACUUCUCAGAACAGUAACAUGCUCAUGACGAUGUUGCAGCAACCACAGCCGCAGACUGUGCCGUCAGAAUCCAAUCAUGCUAUUAAUGUCCAAAGAUCUUGUCUGGUUGCCCCAGCAAAAUCAUCAAACAAAUUUCAGGUUCAGGGCAAUCCUAUGCGUAUAAAUCAGGACUCUACCAUAAUCUCCUCCCAAUCUUCAGCUAAUUUUCAACCAGGGAAUGCUGUUGUUCCGGUGAUUCAAGAUUCUGCGGUAGUUACUUCUCACUCAUCCACCAGUUUGAAGAUGGGGAGUAACCUUUUUGUUACAAAUCAUAGAUCCACAAUACUCCCCUCUCAGUCAUUGACUGGCAUUUCACUGGGGACCGAUUCCGGGCUUCUAAAUCAAGGUUCUAUAAUAGUCUCUUCUCAACCAUUAAACAGUUCUCAGGCUGGGAGCAACUCUAUUCUUAGCAGUCAGAACUCCAUGGUAGUUCCAUCUCACUUAUCGGGCUCAUUGAGGACAGAUAAAAAUAUUAUUCCUAUCACCCAUAACUCAAGUUUGAAUAACAGUAGCUCACUUGUGAAUUACAAUCGCCUGCCCACCCAGUCAAAUGUUAUGCCAUCCAGCAUGAAGCAAGUAUUAGAUAAUUUAGCUGCAGUAGAUAGUUUCUCAGUUCCUGUAUCAAUGAAUUCACAAGUGUUAUCAAGUACAGGUAGCAGCACUAGUUGGCAGUUGCAUAGCCCUGACAUUAGCAUUAGUCAUCCAAAUGGCACACACAGUCUUGUGCCUAGUUCUUGUAACAUUGAAGCCACUGAUAGACUGUUGGUAAAAUUACCUGACAAGGGACUAGGGAAAAAUCUCGGUUUUGUUGGUAAAGGUACCUGUCUCCCAAGUCGUUUUGCUGUGGAUGACAUCGAAUCUCCAACAAAUGACUUGACUAAUAGUAGUACUUACACUGGCGAUGAUGGAUAUCUACAAAAUCAAGAUAUUUUUGGAAUUAGUGGGACACUUCAGAGUGGACAUUGUGCUACCACAAGUUUCAAGUGAUCUCAUGAAAGUUUCAGUAAGACUUGAAUCCUUCACGUGCAUUAUUUGUUUGAACGCAUCAUAUGUAUGGCUUAAACUGUCGGAGAAAGGGCUCCGCAUGUAAAAUACCUGUUGGCUUCAAGAGUCCCAUAUUUUAUGUGCAAUAUGAAUGAAGGUGGAUAGCAUGAAGGCAUGUUUUCUCCAGUUCAGCUGUACAUACUUCAAUCACGAUCCUCGUUUUCAAAUGCACCUUUACAUUGUGCAUAAAUUUUGCUAAGAAUCAAACACUGGCUGUGGUACCCAUAUUAAAAUGUUAUCGGACGAGUGCAUAUUGAUGGAUAUGGUAAAGUUUGGCUGGAUGACUUACUGAUCAUGGCGGCAUAUCAGUUGGCAUUACACAAGAUCUCCAAUUGCUCUUUCUUAAGUUCUCUGUUGCUUGUCAUGUUGGAGCGGAAGAAAUCUUUAUGGGAUUCUUUUUUACCAUCCCCCAAGAUACCAAGUUAUCAAGUUGGUCCCCAGCAACGUAAUUAUGAGAGGUCGUUGGUGGUUAGAAAUUGCUUCGGUCGAUUAUGUUUGCAAGUUGUGGAUCGAAGAACGAAGCAUCGGUUGUCAGAGUGGUAGUUCUUUGAGCUAGUUAAUUUGAUACAAAUAUAUAUAUAUAUUUAUAUAUCUAUAUAUAUGUAUAAUUUCUCUCUGUUUUCUUCAGCAAAACGAUGUGAUGGAAGUGUGAGGUAACAUUUGGGACCUGCUCAGCGGUCAUGUAAUUAAUUGUCAGUUGAUGGGCGUGGUAGAAAAAAUUGGUGUACAUUAGUAAGUAUGAGCGAGGCUCAUUGAUAACCUGUGUACUUGUUCUCGUCAAUAGUUGUGGUUUUUAUGUCCA